rnacentral:lncRNA from 1 species
CCUGGAGCUGAAAUGGUCUCGUGUAGAGCUGUCAGCGACGUGUUUCCGUGUUUGUGAGAACAUGGGGGUGUUGCCCCUUCAAGUGACACGCACCGGGAACAGCGCAGACCCUGCCUAUGUCAGCAUCCAGGUGGAAGAGGGCACUGCCAAAGUGGGGAAAGAUUUUACUCAUAGCUCAGCCAGUUUGAUCCAGUUUGAUACAGGGGUCAAUAUCAAAAGUUGGAAAAUCAAUCUUAAGGAUGACGGACUGGAGGAGAACCAUGAGAACUUUGAGGUGGUCUUGAAAGCGCAGAAGAAUGCAGUUCUGGGUCAGAAAAACCGAGCAACUGUAGAAAUUGUGGACCCCAGAGGAGGGAGUUGUGACCCACAUGAGUUAAUAGUUGAGGAGGAGCAGAAACAGACCCAACCAUUUCCUCCCCCUCCUGUCCACAUACCACCUUCACGCCCUGAGGAAGCGCAGGUCCCCUACUCACAAGCAGAUUUCCCCUCGGAAGACCACCGGCCUCCUCUUUGGGGAGACAUCCCGAAACGUCACCCCUUCCCGGACUACACUGCGGGAGAGGUACAGGAUCAGGCCUACCCAAGUGCACGGAGGAGGCAACUGAGAGUCCUGGGCAACCAGGAGCACAAAUCACAGAAGAACCUCCUGUCAGAGAUUGAGCUGAGGAAUGGAGAGAAAAUCUGGAAGUUCCAUGGGAUAAGUCCCCUGAGGGUGGAGGAGGAGGAAGACCCUUUGAUUGUCAAACCGGUGCCCCAAGGCCACACAGAGGUGGAGGUCACUCCUAUCUGGACCUGGUCUGAACAUCUCCUUCACCGAGAGCCAGUGGGAGAGGACCCACAGGGUGACUCCCCUCGACCU